GAUGAACGCUGGCGGCGUGCCUAAUACAUGCAAGUCGAGCGAACAGAUGAGGAGCUUGCUCCUCUGACGUUAGCGGCGGACGGGUGAGUAACACGUGGAUAACCUACCUAUAAGACUGGGAUAACUUCGGGAAACCGGAGCUAAUACCGGAUAAUAUAUUGAACCGCAUGGUUCAAUAGUGAAAGACGGUUUUGCUGUCACUUAUAGAUGGAUCCGCGCCGCAUUAGCUAGUUGGUAAGGUAACGGCUUACCAAGGCAACGAUGCGUAGCCGACCUGAGAGGGGGGGCGGCAACACUGGAACUGAGUCACGGAACGGACACAAACGGGAGGCACCAGUGCGGAAUGUUCGACAAUGGGCUAAAGCCUGACAGAGCAAGGCAGAGGGAAUGAUGAAAGUCUUAGGAUCGUAAAAAUCUGUUAGUAGGGAAGAACAAAUAGGCAACGACAAAUGCACGUCUAGAAGUUACCUAAUCAGAACGGCACGGACACCUACAUG
rnacentral:rRNA from 1 species